GAUGAAGAACGCAGCGAAAUGCGAUAAGUAAUGCGAAUUGCAGAAUCCGUGAGUCAUCGAAUCUUUGAACGCACAUUGCGCCCUAUGGUAUUCCGGAGGGCAUGCCUGUUCGAGCGUCAUUAUCACCCCUCAAGCCCGGCUUGUUGUUGGAUGCAGCGCUUAUCCCGCUCCUCCCAAAGAUAAUGACGGCGUCUGCGACGACUCCUGUACACUGAGCUUUCGGGCACGUACACGGCUAGAAGUCCAGACCCGGUCGCCGUCCCCCCCGCGGGGACACCCAUUACCACAAGGUUGACCUCGGAUCAGGUAGGAAUACCCGCUGAACUUAAGCAUAUCAAUAAGCGGAGGA
rnacentral:misc_RNA from 1 species